rnacentral:rRNA from 1 species
GAUCAUGGCUCAGAGCGAACGCUGGCGGCAGGCCUAACACAUGCAAGUCGAACGAACCUUUCGGGGUUAGUGGCGGACGGGUGAGUAACACGUGGGAACGUGCCUUUAGGUUCGGAAUAACUCAGGGAAACUUGUGCUAAUACCGAAUGUGCCCUUCGGGGGAAAGAUUUAUCGCCUUUAGAGCGGCCCGCGUCUGAUUAGCUAGUUGGUUGAGGUAAUGGCUCACCAAGGCGACGAUCAGUAGCUGGU